rnacentral:lncRNA from 1 species
UUGCUCCAACCUGUAGCUGCCAAAAUGUAGGUAAGCAACAGCCUACAUUACGGGUCCAAUAAUGUACAAUUUUGGCAAAGUCCAAUUACUUUAAUGAUGGAAUGAUUGUAUAGUUAAAUCUUACUUAAUAAGAUAAGAGUGAGAGUCAAAUUUAUACGGUGCAUAUUUAUUUCAUGUGUCAAUGCCAAUUAUAUUACAUAUUUUAAUUGAAUAAUACGGACCAUUUAACUUGACACAUGCAAAAUUAUAGAUGAGCUUGUAAUUGUAACAUUAAGAUUCACACAAAAAACGAAACUCACAAUAUUUAGCUGAAUGGAAAAUGUUUUCAAGAUGCAUCUAUCAUAAGUUCUAGCUGUGAACAUUAUUAUAUGGCAGUGUCCCAUCCCAUGGUCUCCCCAAGACUCACAACCCAACAUUUUCUUUUUCUUUUUCUUUUUCUUUUAUUUUUUUAUUUUUAUAAAACGCAACCCAACUUUAAAAAUAUGAUCCAUAAUUGCAUAUUGUCAAACCAACAGUGAAAAAAAAAAAAAAAAAAAGGGAAGCAGGAACCGACGCUCUAGAUUCAACAAUUUUAUUUGGUCAACACACAAAUAUUUAAGCUUGGCUUAUAUACGGUCUAUAAUCGGCCACAGGAACCGGACAUCAAGGACAAUUGUCUGAUAACGUGAAAUCCACGACUCUGGUUAAACUUACCAUGGUUAGUUCACUAUAACCAUACUACAACGAACCGGUUCACCAGAAAAAUAAAAUUAAAAAAUUAAAAAAUUAAAAAAAGGUAAAGGAUGAAUAAAAAAAUAAUUGGGUAAUGCAAAUUAUUGCCACUUAACGGAGUAGUAGAUUCUGUUAGAUUCAUUUGACGAGGCGAAGAGGGGGCGCAUAGUAAGAACGUUGUAACGAGGUUUAAAAGAGACGGAGCUGACGGUUUAAGAUAGGGAGACGCGGGAGCCGUUGGAUUGUUGAUCAAGGGCCGAUAAUGCAAGGCGUUGGACGGUUCAAGUGUGACGGAGAGUGGGAGGGGUCGUAUAAAGCCUGGGUUUUGAAAGGUGAGAGUGCAUUUCGUUCCAUCAAAACAAGAAGAAGAAAGAGGAAGAAGAAGGAGAAAGAGCCUCUCUGACGUUUUGGCCUUCGGUUUUUCUUCUGCUUUAGAAUUUAAAGAGGAAUUCGGGAGAGAAUUCGUAGAGCUGGACUGUGUGUAAUGUUAAGGAUCUAAUUACGAAGCUUUUCUGUGAGCCUGUUGUGUGUUCGCGGGAGAGAGAAGGAGAGAAGAGCUUGCAGAGGUUGGUGAUGGAGAAAACAGAGCUCGAUUUUGGUAGUUUUAAUGUAAUCUGAUUUCUUAGAAUGACCGGGUUAUUUUGUGCAAUUUCUGUUUUGCAGAUACAUUCAGAAGAGCUUUUGGAGGAAUUUGAAGUGAAAUCGAUUGCGAUUUGCUGGGAUAAUUUCCAAGGUGGACCUCAUUUCAUUGAAAUUUACAGAGAAAAGGUCGAGAAAUCUAGUUUAGAGGUGAGGGGAGUUGGAUUUGCUUAAUUUCCUAAACGAUUUCACUCCCUUAUUCUAACUCAUCGUUCGUUUGAUUUUGGUUUCACAGGUACAUUUCCCGGAGAUUUGACCCCUUUUUUUUGAAGAAAUCUCAACUGGGGUAUGAGAUAAAGAAGAACAAGCAUCUCUCAUUCAUGAGUGUCAGGGACAUAGGCUCUAAGUUUCAAUCAUUUCGUUGAUUUUCGGCUCUAGAUUUGCAUUUUGCAAAGUCAGAAGGCCUAGAAGAGCAAGAUUACCCAAAAGAAGCAAACUUUCUUUUGCAAAUUCAGGAUUGUAGCUGCUUGCGAAAUCUCAGUAUAACAGGUGAGGAUUCAUUUUCCGAAUCCUAGAUCAGUGAAACCAAGUCUCGGGCUUAGGAUUUCACUGGCUGAUUUGAUUUCCUUCCAUUUUCGGUUCUUCGAAUUUUGAUAUCUUUCUACUCAAUUUGGUUUCUUCAAGGAGGCUCUCACUUUUCUCUUCUUUUUCCUCAUCUGCAGCAGAGUCCAAGCAAUUGGUUUCUCUGUUUUUUGAUUUUCGAUGUUCAAAAGCAGAUAACUUUGCAACAGAAUUUUAAGCUUUUCAAAUGAAGCCAGCCGAGUUCCUUGACUCUCUCUCUCUCUCUCUCUCUCUCUCUCUCUCUCUCUCUCUCUCGCUCGCUGGGUCUUACAUUUGGAUCCAUCAUCUUUGUCCAUCAUCUUCUUUCAAUUUUCUGUCAUCUGCCUUCUGUGCAAGAAUUUUCAAUUUCAAAAAACUAAUUGACCUUUAUAUUUGGGAAGAUUAUCUCUUCUUCUUCGUCUUCUUCUUCUUCCUCUCCUCCUCCUCCCCAUUUUAAAGGCUUUUAAUAUAUUUUUCUGAAUGAUUUCCGUCUGUAUUAUCAGCAUUGAAAAGAAAAGACCUUCUCUAUGAAAUUUUACCCGCUGUUUUGUGAAAAAUCUAUCUAUCUUUGGUGUUCUUUGCUGGCAGUCCGAAGUUUGUGUCUUUUCCGAAAUUCAAACACCAGCAGAGUGCAAAAUCUUCUGUUUGGUUCUCGGGAAACUGAUACAAGAAAAAACUGAGCUAACAGACGUAAUUGCUCAACUUAUUUAAUCGCAAUUCGUUGGAAGCGUCUGAUAAAAAAAAUAUAUAUAUAUAUCAAAGAUACAAUUUUCAUUCUUUGUCCUUUCCCUGCCUUUUUUUUUUUUCGAUCUUCAUCUUCUCCGUCUGUUUGGGUAGGCCCUGCUUUUCAUUUGAAUUUUAUUUUUAGGCACUCGCAGUUGCAGAGAGCCAGCCACAAUCCAAUUCCAGAUUCUCAGUUUUUGCCAUUUCCGUCCCUAACUUUAAUUAUGAGCAUUAACCGCGGUUAAAGUGUAAAAAAUCAUGUUAACUAACUAACCGCUGUGAUUAAUUCUUGUUUUGGCAUGGGUGGACAGGUGUACAAAAGGAGAUGGAAAGGGACUGUCUUAGGCACACCCAUACUAAAGACACCCACAAUCCCAACACUCGAGACAAAACCGGAGGGGACGCCUCAGCCUCUCUGCUGUUGAGAGCGAGCCCCGAUGCCAUACGACACGCAACGACGUCGUCCGAUUUCGUUUUGCAGUGGGGGAACCGCAAGCGCCUCAGGUGUAUGAAGAUCCAGGUCAAAGACAAGGGCAAAGACGACUCCGACGCCCCGGUUACCCGAACCACAGUCCGGGUCGACCGCCGGGUCGUCCGACCUGAUAAGGACCCGGCCAAUCAGCCUUCCACGGCCGGUAACUCUAAUCAGACGAAUGGGUAUUUGAAUCUCCGUCAACGGCCGUUAUCUCCGCAGCAGCCGCCACUUCAGCGUGUUCUCAGGUUACCACUUGCACUUCACGCUUUUGCUUUAUCUAAUCUAUAUCUAUUGCUUCCACGGGACGUCGUUUCGGUCCUGCCUUUCGUUAACAUGUAGUUUCGUCGUUUUGUGGGGUAGUUGUGGUGGCGUUUUGUCGUUUAAAUUAGUGGCGGGUGGGCCAGGUGCGUGGGUUUUGUCGUUUUUAGUUAUUUUGGGACUUGUUGCCUACGGUUACAUCUGUACAGUUUUGGUGCGGUUUUUAUAUAUACCUUGAUCUCACCGUCAGAUGCAUGAGUCAUAAUCAUCAGAUCAGGAGAUUUUAUAUUCAGACUUGCUUGAUUUUAGAUUUUAGAUUUGUGAGGAAAAAUCUCAGAUGAUUGCGUGGCCAAUUUCUCUACGUCUGUGAAGGUCAAAGAGAAUAAUUUUGUUAGGUAAGUGUUUGUUGCUUUGAUUAGAUUAUUUCAUAUGCAACAAUAGAGUGAUUGCAAAUUCUGUUAUCUUCUUCCUUGUUUGGUUGAAGAGAAAAUCUUGUUUGCGUGAAGGGAAAAUCUCUGAUUUUCUUGUGCAAAUUUGUCGCUUUAGAUUGGAUUGAUUUAUAUGAGUGGGACUGGAUAAAUGGAUAAGGCUAGAAAGCAUGGAAUUUUGUCCCACACCACUGGUUUUUUAUAUUCCUGGCCUGCCAUUAACAUGGCUGUGUUUAAUCCUAUGUGCUUAAUGUGUAGUUGAAUGAAAUUUUGUCGGAGGGUUUUUGAGAUUAGGAGUUUUAAUGAUGAAAUUUGGGGCUGAAUUUGUUGUGAGGCUUAUCUUAAUGAUCAACUCUCCAAUUGGUCAGGUGGGUGAAGAGAUGUAAAAGCCCCAGAAGGAGAGCUCAUGGUAAGUGCAUGAGGGUAGGGUGCCUUCUUUGUUUGUCUUUGUAGGAAACUAGUAGCAUAUGAUUGAAUUAGGUUGCUCAUGUAGUCAUGUAAUCUUUUUGGCUUGAUUGUGCACAACAUAAAACACAUUAACAUAACAAACAACUUAAAUUAGAGAAAGAGAGAGUCUUAGUGCCAUAAGGUCAAGCAUUUACCCUCACAUUCACGGCAAGAGUUUGAUUCUUCCUCGUUCGUGUUUUUCAGGAUGCGGUAUUAAAUUAUGGUAUCAUACAGGAUGGUGUAUCAAUAAGUUGAUGUCAAGCAUGAUUGAUUUGAUACUAGUUCUAGUUUUCUUUUUUGGAAUAAAUGCCUUAUUUAUUGUGAUUGAUUUGUUAUUUAUUUUAGACACGAUGUUAGGGCUGAUUUGAUCAUAAAUCUAGAAUGAUUAGGCUUGAGUAAAUUGAUUUCCACUAGGACUUGUGUAGCAGGCUUAUGUUGCUCAUGGUCACACCGGAUCGGGGCUCCACUACAUCUUAGCAUGAUAGCGUCCGAUCCAUAACGACCGGCACCCUGAUUCCAUGGGCUCAGUGGAAAUAGGAAAUGGGCAACUCCUAUUCCACGUGUCCACGGAAAACCAAUUCUUCAACCCCGUUUCUAGCCCUGGGAUCACUGAUGGAUCAGGCAAUGGAUCCACGCCUUCCACGUUUCAACACGUGUUCCUUAACCCCACAAAAGGCACUCUCAAUCCAACGGCUAAAAUCCUGCCCAAAAACCAGCUGUGCACGUUAUACAGUACAUCACAUCCCUUUCCUCUCUCUCUCUCUCUCUCUCUCUCUCUCUCUCAAAUAUCUAACUUUUCAUUAAAGAAAAGAAAAUUAACAACUCCCUCGUUUAAAAGCAGAACACAAAGGUCCCCCAAAGAAGCCAAAAACCACGCUAAUUUUCUACGCAAAACCCAUUACAAAGCCUCUCUCUCUCUCUCUCUCUCUCUCUCUCUCUCACACCAAUCCACCGAUCUAGAUCGUCUCAAGGCCAUUCCCGUAAUUUCACAACUACCCACAUUAAUUUAAUUUAAUUUAAUUUUUUGCCCAAAAAGUAUCAUUUAUUAUGUUUUGUGCCAGCUUUUUUAUGGGUUUAUUGAAUUCAAUUGAUUUGAUUUGAUUUGAUUUUGAUAUGCGUAUCUGAAUUGUGUAGAAACUCAGAGACCACAACAAGUGCCAUGAGAGGCCAGAGCAACGGAGGCUUGAGGGGAAUUGUUUCACCCGACAACAGAGGGGGUGCGCACGAUAAGAAAGGCAACCACCACCAUCACAACCACCACCACCAUAAUAAUGAGAAUAACAACACCAAGUCUGCAGCUUCUUCGGACACGGCGCACGAUAGUAAAAAGGGGGGAGGUGGGUCUUCAUCGGGAAGCGGCGAAGCAGCGUUGGCGCCACCGAUGGUCUGGCCGCCGAAGUUCGUGAUUGCUUUGACCAACAAAGAGAAAGAAGAGGACUUCAUGGCAAUCAAAGGGUCAAAAUUGCCUCAGAGACCCAAGAAGAGAGCAAAGUUCAUUCAACGCACCCUCAAUGUAAGCUCCUCUAUUUUCCUUUUUUAGUUACUUUAUUAAUUAAUUAGUAUUAAUUAAAACUAACUAGUUUUUUUUAUUUUUUUUCUUUCUCUUUUUAAAAUAACACCAUUGCCUUGCAAAAACAAAUCAAAACCCAGUUUGAUUUUAUUAUAUUUAUAUGGUUGUUUUACCUGUAUUUAUGCAAAUUGUUGUUGCGACAAAAUGUGGACUAGCUUAGAAGGAAGGAAAAGCAAAAAAUAAUAAAAUAAUAGAAUAAUAAAUAGAACUUUCUGGUAUUUGUUUAGUUUGGGUUAAAAGAAGCCGAAGAAGAUUGCUAAAGUGACAGCAAGAACAAGGCAUACACGUGUCCGCCAAGCCAUGUAUGCAUAUACCUAAUAUGCCUAAAAGUUAGUUUGCUGUCCGACUGGAAUAGUAUUAAUAGGACGAUGGUUUGGGUUAAGAUUAAAUUCUAUAUUAUUCAUAAUAAUAUGAUAAUGAAAUAUUUUAUUUAGGGUCGCCUCGUUUAGUGGAAAAUUGAUGUCACACGUGGCAAUACAUGGUUGUUGCUUUUGGGUUGGUUAUCGUGGCGAUGGACGGUGCGUGGCGUCUCAUGUGGCCGCAUGUGAUUUAGUGGGCAUCAGUGGACGUUUAAAGCAAGUGGGCCUUAAUUCUGUACUAACCGACAAAAAAAGGGCAUAUGGGUCGAAACGGACCCUGGGCCUGUUACCGUUGGUUUUUUUUUGGGGGGUUCUUUUUGGGAAAUAAUAUGCUUCAUGUUGAGGGCAUAUAGGUAUUUUCACUAGCCCUUAAUUAUGCUAACUGUUUUCUGGCUUGGACCGCACUGCCAACUGCUGAGCACAAAAGCACGAAAGCUGACUACCCACAAUGCACCGUUUUCGUUUUUUAAGUUCCAAACAUAGCAAAACUCAUCAAAGUGCUUAUCAAAAAGCCUAUCCCGCUUUUUGCCCAUUACCUAAAGCAAAAGCUACGCUUUUGCCAGUCUGUUUUUGCUUGUUUUGGCCUCUUCCUUUUAAUUAGCUGGAAGAUUAUUGUUCUAAUUAGUUUUUUAUUUUCUGUAAUUUUGUUUUAUAGCUGGUAAGCCCAGGAGCAUGGCUCUGUGAUCUGACCCUAGAACGGUACGAGGUCAGAGAGAAGAAGAUUUCCAAGAAGGUAUUUUAUUGAGUAAUUUUCUUCGAUUCAGGGCCUAAAUCAAAUUUCCUUAAUUUGCCUUUAAUGUUGAUAUUUUUAUGCAGCAGAAUGAAUAGUUUUUUUGUGUUUUUGCAUGAUGCUGCAGAGACCAAGAGGGCUAAAGGCGAUGGGCAACGUGGAGUCUGACUCUGAAUAGAAAGGAGUUUUAGUGAAAAGACUAAUAUAGCAUUUUCGUUUUUUUUCUCCUCCUUUUUUUGAAGGUAUGAGAAAAAUGUUAGAACUUUGUAAAAAUCUUCACCUUUCAACCAUCAGAAUAAUGAAUGGAUUCAUUUCCGGUCCUGUAUACAGUCUUGUUCCUCAUCUUCCUACUAAGUUUGUUUAAUCAGAACAAGAAAAAAAAAACAAAUCAUCACGUCCAAGCACACGAACAAAUGAAAUUUCUCUCUUUCAAACCCUAAUUGUGAAAAAUAAUUAAAAUAAGCUUCAGGGAUGUAAUUCAAGUGGUUAGUCAUGACAUGUUACACAAUCCAACAAUUUUUUGUUUUCUUGUCAACCUACAACACAUUUUCUUAUGUCGUAUUAAGUUAGAAAAGGGAAUUAACGGUGUUGGAUAGUCGUCCAAACGCACGUGAGUGUCUUAUGAUUGUUCAUAUAUUAACAUAUGGGUCUCAGUCUAACAUACAUCGAUGACUUACGGUGGAAGUGCUCAUUAGGCAUGGGCAAAAUCAGUUUCAGACUUCACCAUCCGAGUGAAAAAGAAACUCGAGACUCGAUCGCUCUCAAGAUGUGAAGAAAAUCACGAAAUUGACUCUUGAGACGAGAUUUGAGACUCUUUAGAGGUUAGACUUCAAGAAGGAAGAAGAAAAACAACAAACCAUAACUCUCUUUAGCUGACACACGUAACGUAAAACCACAAUAUAUGAAUUUGCAAAGCUAUUAAAGACAAUGACAUCUAAAAAUUUACCCGAGACAGGAGAAAAACCAGAACCCCAACUCCCUAAAGUUACCUAGUCAUUAGCAAAUUGAAGGGCCACGUCUAAUUUAUAAUGAUAAGAGAUAAUAUCAUUGUUUGGUCGCAUGAUUUGUGGAUGCCACUUUACAUUAUGUGGCCUCCUUAAUUGGUAUUUUGAUGUGACACGGAACACUUAACGCGGUAAUUUAAUUUCUUAACGUAAUUGACAAUUUCAAUGAAAAUCCAUGACCUAUCAUAUCAGACCACCAAACCAAACCCAACUGAAUUAAACUAUUGGAAGAGGAGAAAACAUGGGUCCUAAUUCAAAUUAACAUUCAUAAUUCGCCAUCAUUGACGGGAAGACCCGAAUUAAUCCCCUUAAUUAUGCCACGAAGAAGCAUAAACACAUUUUAAGAAUAACAUCUGCUCUGUGAGAGUUUGUGGAGACAGACAGAUCCACCACCCACCAUCCAGCUGGUUCUCAAAAGGCAAUUCUAAUGCUACCUGCGGGUCGUGAAGAAAAGAGGAAGAUUUUUCAAUUUAAUUAGCCCCCAAAAAAUAGCAUGGAAAAUACCCCCAAAGGGCCCUAAAUAUACCCUUACCCACUGGGCAUAUUUGUCAAUAAACACUGAAAUUAGGGAUUUUUUCAGGACCCAAACACAAUUGCUAUAGUCGGUGACCCAGAGCCUAUCAAAUUAUAAACUCAUUACGUGUUGCAGUUGGAAUUACAGCUUUAUUCUGUUAGAAUAAAUGAUUAAUUUACACCGACUUGGCUACGCCGCUUUUUUGGUCCAAGCGAAAAUAAAAUAAUUGGAUCUGGAUUUGUAAUUUGCCGCUUUUUAUUUGCAGGUAAUGAAAAUGAAAUAACAAUUUGGAUAUUAGUUAAUUUUGAUAUCACAAGCUAGACAAACACCAUUCUCAAAGCAACUCAAGCAUCAAACACAGGAGGAGGAGGAGGAGGAAGACAAACGAAAUAAAAUCAAUGAAUUAUUUACUCAUAAUAAGGAUAAUAAUCGAAAUCCACAAAUACAAAACCCAUAGUAAUAAACCAAGUGCAUUAUAUAUGUAGUCUAUGCACCACAAAAACCCAUAUGACACUGAAAAUCCUAUAGAUCCAUAAUCACCAGCUACUAAAAUGACAAACGCUACUAAUAAAAAACCAAUCAGAAACCCAACCGCUCUCUACACAGCCCCAACCAUAGUUGCAGUAGUAAGCGAAGACUCAAACCCUGAGCGCAGAUCCGAAGACGAUAGCGGCGAAGGCGGCGGCGAAAGCAGAGAUGAACGACGGGGAGAUGGAGGCGGAUGCGGAGGUUGGGCUAGGAGCUGGAGAUUCGGCGGCCUGAGCGGCGCCGAUGACAGAAAGGACGGUGACGAAGACCGCCAUGAGAGCCACGAGUGAAGUUGCCUUUGAGACUGCCAUUGUUGAUUGGUGUGAGAGUUUCUUGUGCUUCGGAAUCUAGGGUUUUGGGAAUACGCCGAGAGACUGAAGCACAAAUAUCAGAGGUGGAAUGAAGUAGGCUCAAGGAACGUAUUUAUAGCGGGGAUUUUGGGCUGGGGUCGGGCAGCCUGGGCAGCUGCCCGGUUCUACAGGCUGGCUACUUGUGAUUGGUUCAGCGCGACAGCUCACACCGCUGGUCGGGGUAAAUUUUUCUCUGUGGGCCCCACUAGAAACCAGUGUCUACGCGGAGUCGUUU